UACAGAGGUGACAAGCGUUGUUCGGAAUUAUUGGGCGUAAAGCGCGUGUAGGCGGUCUGUUAAGUCAGAUGUGAAAGCCCAGGGCUUAACCCUGGAAGUGCAUUUGAUACUGGCAGACUUGAGUACGGGAGAGGGUAGUGGAAUUCCCAGUGUAGAGGUGAAAUUCGUAGAUAUUGGGAGGAACACCGGUGGCGAAGGCGGCUACCUGGACCGAUACUGACGCUGAGACGCGAAAGCGUGGGGAGCAAACAGG
rnacentral:rRNA from 1 species